GGUUUAAAUCUUUAGAAAAUUUAUUAUUCACCAACUUUUAAAAAAAGUUAUUUUAAUUUUAGUAAUUUCUUGAAAAAAAUAAUUUUAUAUAGAAAAUAGUACUGUAAAGGAAAGACUUUUCAUUCAUUUAAAAGUAGUUUUAUAAACUUACCUUUUGUAUCAGGGUUUAUCUAUUUGUAUAGAUUAUUUUCUACUUUCCCGAACCCUUAAGUUCUAAUAUUUUAUGAAUUAUAUCGUUAUAAAGCUAUAUAAAAUAAAAUUUUAGUGGAGAUAUUUUUCCAAUUAAGGAUAUCUGGUUUCUUGAGAUUUGGAUUUAAUCCAUGGUUAAGGAUUUUUUUAAUUUCAUUAAAAUACUUAACUACGUUCUAAUCAAGAUAAGUUGGUUAGAUUCUUAUAAUUCCUAUUGAUUAAAAUUAUUUGUAGGAUUAACAUUUUCCAUCAUUUAUUUUUUUAAAAAAACACUUUUGUUAGAAUAUUUUAUUAUUCAUAUUUAAUUAUAUAUCAGGUUUUUAAUUAAAAUUUUAUUAAUUAUUAAUAAUGAUAAGAUUAGUAUUUUAUAUAUAUAAAAUAUAGUAAUUCGGCAUAUAUUAUUUCCGCCUGUUUAACAAAAACAUGUCCUUUUGUAUAUAUAAAAGGUCUAAUCUGCUCAAUGAUUGUAAAUAGCUGCAGUAUUUUGACUGUACAAAGGUAGCAUAAUCAUUUGGCCUUUAAUUGGGGUCUGGCAUGAAAGAUUGGACGAGAAACAUACUUUCUUUAUAUUUUAACUAGAAUUUAAUUUUUAAGUUAAAAAUCUUAAAUUUAUUUAUAGGACGAGAAGACCCUAUAGAACUUUAUAUAUAAUUUAAUUAUGUAUUUGUAGUUUAUUAAUAAAUAUGUUUAUAUUUAUAUAUUUUGUUGGGGUGACAGAAAAAAUACAAUAACUUUUUUAAUAUUUUUCAUUAAUUUAUGUGUUUGUGAUCCUUUAUUAAGGAUUAAAAGUUUAGUUACCUUAGGGAUAACAGCGUUAUUAUCUUGGAGAGUUCAUAUUAAUAAGAUAGUUUGCGACCUCGAUGUUGGAUUAAAAUAAGUUUUAGGUGUAGAAUUUUAUUAACUAGGUCUGUUCGACCUUUAAUUUUUUACAUGAUCUGAGUUCAGACCGGCGUAAGCCAGGUUGGUUUCUAUCCAUACUUUUAUUAAUAAAUCUCAGUACGAAAGGACCUGAUUUUGGGAAUAUUUUUUAGAAUUUGUUUAUAUU
rnacentral:rRNA from 1 species